UACAGAGGGUGCGAGCGUUAAUCGGAAUUACUGGGCGUAAAGCGUGCGUAGACGGUAGCGUAAGUCGGAUGUGAAAGCCCCGGGCUCAACCUGGGAAUGGCAUUCGAGACUGCUCUGCUAGGGUGCGGAAGAGGGAAGCGGAAUUCCAGGUGUAGCGGUGAAAUGCGUAGAUAUCUGGAGGAACACCAGUGGCGAAAGCGGCUUCCUGGUCCAGCACCGACGUUCAGGCACGAAAGCGUGGGGAGCAAACAGG
rnacentral:rRNA from 1 species